GCCUCUUUUAGAGGCUUCUAUUGACGAUCAAAUGAAAUAACCCAUCUUAAGGUCUUACUCAAAUGUGGACAGGGAGUUCCCAUCAUGGCUCAGUGGUUAGCGAGCCUGACUAGUAUCCAUGAGAAUGCAGGUUCGAUCCCUGGCCUCUCUCAUUGGGUUAAGGAUCUGGUGUUGCCAUGAGCUGUGGUGUGAGUUGCAGACACAGCUCAGAUCCGGCAUUGCUGUGGCUGUGGUUGUAGGUUGCAGAUGUGGCUUGGAUCUGGGUGUUGCUGUAGCUGCUGUGGUAUGGGCUGGCAGCUGCAGCUCCUCUUGGACCCCUAUAUGCCAGGGAACUUCCAUAUGCCACAGGUGAGGACUUAAAAAGAAAAAAGACAAAAAGAAAGGGGUUGAGGGAGGAGAAUUAAGAAAAAGUAGAAAGAAGAAAAAAAUGACCCACAGCUUUCCAAUCCAAAGACCACUGCUUAAUGUUUUAUGUAUGUGCCUUUACUUCUCAAAUUUGAUUUCAACUCUGUGAUGAGGUUUCUCUUUCAAACAACUGUUUUAAUCAAAAGGGACAUACAUUUUUCUAUGUCCUGCUUUUUCCCUUAAUAUUAUAUCAUAAACAUUUUUACAUUAUUGCAUGGUAUUUGUCAACAUUAAAUAUGCUUGCAUAACACUGCAACUCUUCCCCUUUUCCUGGAUACUCCAUGUUUUGCAGCUUUUCACUCUUGUAAAAGAAGCUUCAACUCUCCUCGUCGCAUGACCUCAAAUGCAGAAAAAUAUGACUUCUCUUAUUUCCUGUAACUGAAUUAAAUUUCUUUCUUAAACCCUUGUCUCUAGAGCAAAAAACCAUACCCAAUAAUCAUAAUCACUUCUAGGUGAACUCAGUCACAAUCAGAAUCUUUCUACUCUUUCUAGCUCUUCAUCUCUCUGUUGCUGCGGGAGUGAUGCAAAUGUCACCAAGUAGCAAAUGGAGAAACGACAACCUCUCUUCUCCUUUUUUUUUUUUCUUUUGAUAUGGCUGCAUUUUCACCACAUGGACGUUCCCGGUCCAGGGACUGAAUCUGAGCCACAGUUGUGACCUAUGUCACCACUGCAGCAAUGCCAGAUCCUUAACCCACUGCCCGGGGUUGGGGACUGAACCCACACUGCCUCAGAGACAAUGCUGAUCAUUGUCCUACUGUGCCAGGGACUCCCAAGACAACCUCUUCUUGAUCUUCAUCGGCUUUGUUCCAUGGUGGCCUCCUAUUCCAGUAUAGCAGGUGAGCCUUCCCUGCCUGGCUCACAGAAAGGGAGCAGUGGUGAUGGCGUGUCAGUGGGAGUUGGGACAGCCCCCCCACAUCCUGACAAUCUGCUGCUGUGUAGCCACAUCAUGUCUUUCCGUGUGGCUCCUCCUAACCCAGCCAGGAGCACCCCCCUCCCUCCUCACCCGCACCCCCGCCGCCCCAUCUCUCAUCAGGAGUAGGGUGUAGGAGCUGGGAGAAUCUAUUCUGGUCUCAAGCCUGGACAUGCAAAGCUGUCAUUUCUACUCCUUAGUAUCUGCACCAUAGUGGUGGGAGAUUUGCCUAUAAGGCUUGUUUGUUGCCUGCCUCGGCCUUGCCUAGGAAUCAAUAAAUGGGGUUGAACUUUAGGUGGGGCCAGGAGCACAGUUCUGCUGUUUUGUUUCUUUUUCAAACUCUCCACCUAUCUUCUCUGUCUAAUAAAGUUAAAUUUUCUCUGGUGUGGAGGUGGGGAAGGUUGUUUUUGACUAUAGUUUUGACAUGUCUCUUCCUACAUCUUUCAGUCUUACAUUUAAGUUAAAAAGCUGACAUUUUGUUGACUCACUCUUUCUUUCUUUUUCUUUCUUUCUUUUCUUUUCUUUCUUUCCUUCUUUCUCUCCCUCUCUCUUUCUUUGUCUUUUUAGGGCUGCACCAGCAACCUAUGGAGAUUCCCAGGCUAGGGGUCGAAUCAGAGCUGUAGCCACUGGCCUAUGCCACAGCCACAGCAAUGCCAGAUCUGAGCGAUGUCUGUGACCUACACCACAGCUCACACCAAUGCCAGAUCCUUAACCCACUGAGCAAGGGAUUGAACCUGCAUCCUCAUGGACACUAGUCAGAUUCAUUUCCUCUGAGCCACAACAGGAACUCCCUGACUCUUCUUUCCAUGUGGCCUCAAGUCUUACAACUCCAGAGGGAUGGUGGUCUUGGCCUAAAAGGGAUUUCGAGAAAGGGAAAGAACACACCAGUUAUCAUCUCAAAUUAUCUUGCCUCAUUGUAAUGCUGCAAAAAUACUUGGGCACAUGUCACUGGGGACCUUUGGCGGACAGGGUGGGGCAGGUGUGUAUGAGCCAAGGCCUGAUGUCAUCAAGGAAGACGAGAGGAGGUUUUGGGGCUGAGGGUAGAGUGGUAUAAACAGGUGGAACAAUGGUGGCACCGUCCAAGCCACAGGAGUAAUGGUCUGCCCUUCCUCCCUCAGUGAGCAAAGAUGGGAGGCAUUCCCAUUGUGGCUCCGCAGGUUAAGAACCCGACAUUGUCUCUAUAAGUAUUUGGGUCUGAUCCCUGGCUUCGCUCAGUGGGUUAAGAAUCCAUUGUUGCGGAGUUCCUGUCGUGGCUCAGAGGUUAACAAAUCUGACUAGGAACCAUGAGGUUGCGGGUUCGAUCCCUGGUCUUGCUCGGUGGGUUAAGGAUCCGGCGUUGCUGUGAGCUGUGGUGUAGGUCGAAGACUCAGCUCGGAUCCUGUGUUGCUGUGGCUGUGGUGUAGGCCGGUGGCUACAGCUCCUAUUGGACCCCUAGCCUGGGAACCUCCAUAUGCUGCGGGAGCGGCCCAAGAAAUGGCAAAAAGACAAAACAAAACAAAACAAAAAUCCAUUGUUGCCACAAGCUGUGGAAUUUGGUUGCACAUGUGGCUUAGAUCCUGCAUUGUUGUGGCUGUGGCGUGAGCCAGCAGCUGCAGCUCCAAUUUGACCCCUAGCCUUCCAUAUGCCCAGGGGUCAGCCAUAAAAAGAAAAAAAAGAAAAAAAA
rnacentral:lncRNA from 1 species